AAAUUAUAAUUUGUUACUAAAUAUUUGUAUAUCUGUUUAGGAAACUUCGAUGUUUUAUUCUUUUUAAAGUGGUCGCGGUCAAAAUUUUCGUUCCUUCUUUUUCAACUUUGUAGUGAGUUGGAUGAACUCUAAAUUAUCAAGUUAAAUAAAAGACUAUUGUACGUUUAAUAAGCUGCACUGUUUUAUUUCGACAGAAUUGAAAAACUACAAGAAUGGCGACUGGACAAUUUUUUAAGCUACAUUAUUUAAAAGUUUCGUAGCAGCCACAUAACUGCAGGGUAGCGAUCGUCUGGAAAUGCAGCAUAUUUUGCGGCAUGAACAUUCCGCACCCUUUCAAAUCCUAUUGCAAAUAGAGGUCCUUGGCAAGGAGAGGGUUAAGGUUUCAUGUCGGGAGUCACUGGAUCUUUUUCGGAGAUGAACCAAACCGAAGAUAGUGUUCUGUGCUACCGGCAGACCGUCUUGGCUGGUUGCCAGACACAGGCAGAUUAUUUGCGGAUAAAGAAAUCGGCAUCCGCCAAGAUAUUCUCCAGUUUUUUCUAAUGGACUCGUCCAUUGGUUUUAUAGCGUCCCCUUAGCGCUGAUGAAAGCAGUACAAACACCUUCUGUACCGAUGCGAGUGACGGAAAGCCCAAGUGUCGCUGCCAAGGAUGCAUCGAUGCGACUCGAUGGACUGCACUGACUAUGUGAGAUUUUCGAGGCGUAGCUCUUCAUUAGCUUCAUGGACUGAUCAAUAAGAAUUUGCCAUUGGGAUUGGGCCGAUUGUAGCCAUUCUGGUCCAUGCCACCACAGAUCAUUGGCCACGAGGUCGCAUGAUGGAACACCUCAGCUAGCCAAAUCAGCGGGGUUGCAUUCGGAACGAACGUGAGACCAUUUGCUGGAGUUGCUGGAUUGUACAAUCUAGGUGACUAUUAGCCAUAAAAUUUGUCCAUUUGGCAGCUUUGCCUUAGGGGAAGAUUGAACCCAUCCGGGUAUGCGUAUCUUAUUGAGUGUUGCAUAACUCUCGAGGAAUGCUCGCCAUCUUUGUAGAAAUUGGCUUGGCAAUGAUUCGUCACAAUCCAGAUCAUGAACAGACAUCAUCUCGCAAAUUUAUUUUAACUAAAUUUCUGAUGACUUAACUGGCUAGUUUGAGGAAUCGUUGCUACAUUUAAGGCUGCACUUUUAUAAAAUUUAGAGUAAACUUAAACAAUAAACAGCACAUAGUACGCACUGAUUAAGA